AUGUCAUUUCCUGUACUAAUAAGAUGGUGGUCAAAGCAGGGGAGGAGAGCAGCAGCGAGUCGCCGCCGCCGCCGCGCCGAGGCUGGCGCUGAAACUUUGCCUCGCCGGGGACCAGCGCGCCCGCAGCGCGGCCGCUCCCGCCGCGGGGGCCGCCAGCCGGGGCCGCGCCGCCUCCGCCGAGCCGCCCGCCGGGCCGCCCCCGCCGCCCGGGCCCCGCGGCUGCCGCAGCGUUCCCGGGAAGAUCUCUCUGAACACCGUACUGAUCUCUCCUACACAAGCUGGACUUUCCUCCUCAAAUCCUGAAGCCAUUGUCAUCUAAUGAACGAAUUAAGGUGUUUAUGGCCAGGAGGACUGUAUGCCAGGGAUGUAGCAGAGGAUAUUCCAGGAAAGCAGGAGGAUGAGAGUCAACAUUCCCUGAGGCCCCUGCUCAUCUAGCCAGUAUAUGAUUCAGUGAAGGGGCUACAGAGCAGGUGAUCUGGGGAAGAUGAAGAGGAAGAAGAAAAAGGUGAUGAUGAUGAGGAUGAAGAUGAUGGCAGCUAAUGUUAUUUGAGGGCUUAUUGUGUGCCAGGUAUGUCUAAGCAUGUCACAUACCCUGCGCUGAAAACAGCUCCACAAGCUAGAUAGUACUCCCGUUUCACAGAUUGAGAGACUGAGGCUCCAAAAGAUGAGGUAAGGGACCCAGGGUUAAUGGCAUAACCAGGAUUAGAACCUUAGCAGUCUGAGGUCACCUCCUUAGUAUGCCCUCUUGGAGUGAGGGCAGAGAACCCCAAGCCCA
rnacentral:lncRNA from 1 species